CACACACACACAGUGGCAGUAAUGAUCAUUUUACCCAACGGUUAUUAAUUUCAGUAUUUCAGACGCACAACCAAAUUGUACAGACUUAUUUAGAAACAGGUGUUGAGAGGAUCACACUUCCUCAAAGUAGUACAUUUUUAUGAUUUCACAUGACAAAUAAAUGAUUAAUGUGUCGAUGUUCUCAGAGAUAAACCUUCCAUAGCAUCAGUUAUUGCUUUGACACUGCCCGAAUCUGCAGCGUUAGGCUUGCUUGUCGUUAUACACCAUAUUUGGGUGAAGCCGUCGUGAAUGAAUGUGAUCAGCCAUCCUGAGAACUCCGGCUCGUACAGCCAAAAUGUUCCUGCAGCGGGCACGGUGGCGGGGGGGUGGGACAAAGCUGCGACACAAGACUGCGGUGGGUUUAAUCGCAGUUUCAGUCUGGGCUCCACCCCUGACGAAUACAUAUUUUCAUGGCAUGAGGUAAAAAUAAUUAUAGCUUAUAUGUUCUACCUGCAGCUCAUGUUAAUGCAAACAAUGUUGCACUGACACCUGCUAUUAAAAUGUCACAUGUACUUCAUUCUUUGCAGCUGAAGUGUCCUUUUAAUAAAUAUGAAGUUGAACCAGAUUAAAAAAUCAUGAAUACACGAUUAGCUUUCAAAAACACUAUUUGCAUCCUUAGGACUUGUUUAGCGGGGAUUUUUUUAACUUGUGUUCAGAAACUCUGACGUAUAAUCAAACCCUGCAUCACGGUCUCCCGGUCCAUUUAAUAUUCACUCAGCAGAAGCAAUUUCUGAAUAUUGCGAGAAGUAAACGUAAACCACGGUGGACAACAAAAUCUAUUUUUGCAGCAAUAUAUAAAAUCCAAAAACUAAGAGCUGUGCAGUUAUUUCUCCCUUGAUCCCGAUGUUUUGUUUUGCAGCUAAGGCCUGUGAUCUGGAGAAGGUCCACCUGGAUGAGAAGGAUUUCCGCUGGCAGCACAAUGAGGACCGCAUGGCGGUGGAGAAACUGUCAGACGGCAUCCGCAAGUUUGCUGCUGAUGCUAUCAAGCUGGAGACCAUGAUCAAAGAGAAAAUGCUCAACGUGAAAAACGGCCAGUAAUGGACAGAUUUGGUGUCUGCGGCUGCAUUAAACUAUAAGAAGUUAGCAGGCUGCCUUCUUUGUCUCCAACUACCUGAGAGAAGGCCCGAAGCACCAGAAGGCCUUCCCUCUCCUCAUCUGACCAAACCGCAGGGACUCCUGACCGGACACCUGUCCUCUCUUUAGUCUGGGAGUAACACUGUUUUCUGACCAAACGUACAUGGUGAUUGAUGCUUAUGUGGGUGUGCCGCUGCUGUAAAAUAGUCUUAAUAUUAACUAGAAAUUUAAGCAGAAAGGGAAAAACUUUUCAGGAAAAAACUGCCGUAGUUUGAGAGUAAUAUCACGUGACUACUGGAGAGAACCACGAGCACUUUUUGGCAGAAAAGGACCACAGUUUUUUCUAUCAGCAUCAUUUGGAUAACCUGAUACAGACCAUUGUUUCAUCAUUCCUCAUAAUCUUUUGCUCUUUGAGAAAAAAAUAAAAAUCUCAGUCAUUA